GGAAGAGUCUCCUCCAUAAUAAUCCUGCCCAAACAUCCUCUAAGAUGCAAGUUCUACGACUGUCAAAUCUAGUAAUCUUAUUAUUGUAAAUGUAGCUUGCUUAAUUUAUCCAAUAAAAUAAAAAGGAUUAGAUAUUUUGGGCCUGCAUAUGAUCUGAUAAUCUUCAAAAUCAAUCAGACAUUAACUAUGCAAUUGAACACAAUUAGCAAAGGGCUAUCCACCUAUCAAAUAUCAUUUAGGCAUGAUGCCCAGUUUAUUUAAAGAACCAUUCUAAUUGCUUGC
rnacentral:misc_RNA from 1 species